rnacentral:rRNA from 1 species
UACGAAGGGGGCUAGCGUUGCUCGGAAUGACUGGGCGUAAAGGGCGCGUAGGCGGCUCAUACAGUCAGAUGUGAAAUUCCUGGGCUUAACCUGGGGGCUGCAUUUGAUACGUGUGGGCUUGAGUGGGGAAGAGGGUCGUGGAAUUCCCAGUGUAGAGGUGAAAUUCGUAGAUAUUGGGAAGAACACCGGUGGCGAAGGCGACGACCUGGUCCUUGACUGACGCUGAGGCGCGAAAGCGUGGGGAGCAAACAGG